AAAAAAAUUAGAUCGAGAACCUUAUCUUCUCUCUUCAUCUUCUAAUUCCAAUUCCAUUAAUCCAACAACCAAAUUUCUUCUCUCUUCAACAACCAAUUCCAUUAAUCCAACAACCAAAUUUCUUCAUCUUUACUUCUUUAGAUACGAAUUUGAAACCAUUGAAUUAGAAGAAAAUUGCAAUAGAGAAAGAACAGCAGUACGACACGAAGAAGUAGGAGAAGAUAAGGUUCUCGAUCGACUUCUUCUUGCUCAGAUCUCAUUCAAGUAUUCAACAGGUAACUUCAAACUAAUUCUGAAUCUUCUUUUCUAUACAAAAAUAAACAAAACCCUAGAUUUCUACCUUUUGAUUUGAGAUUCAAUUACAACGAAUUACUUUGGUUUAAUCAUGAGAAUCUUCUAUAAACCGUAGAUUUCUACCUUUUGAUUGCGUGAAACGCUUUCAUCUUGUUCAAACCUUAGCUCAUUUUCUUGGUGGUUGGUAAGAUUAACAAUAUUUUAAAUCUUUUCUUUUCUUCUAAGGGUGUGUUUGAUUGCAAGCAUUUUCCCAAUGUAAUGAGAAAAUUUAUGUGUUUUCUCAGUGGACCAGUGGAAAAGGGGCACUAUUUAUGUGUUUGAUUGUUAACUUAAGCAGUGAGAAAAAGAAAAUCGUAUUUUCCCACUGUAUAGCUAUUUUCUCUAUACAGUGAGAAAACAUUUUCUUACCCUCCCCCUUAGAAUUCCAAAUUAGUGAGAAAAUUGGGUUAUUUUCCCACUAGAGUGAGAAAAGAGGAUGGUUAAUUCCAAACUAGUGAGAAAAUAAUUAGAAUUCCCACUAUCAAUCAAACACCAUAUUUGUGCAGAGUGAGAAUGACUUAAAACAUUUUCUUACUUAAGUGAGAAAAUAUUUUAAGUCAUUCCCACUUAAGUGGGAAAACUAUCUUUAAGUCAUUCUCACUCUCAUUUUUUCUCACUCCGCAAUCAAACGUAGCCUAAAUUAAUUACCCUUUUCUUUUCUUUUAUAUAAUGUAAUAUGUUAAAAAAACCCAAAUCAAAUAAAAAACUUUCAACUUUUGUUUUGGUAUACUGUAUACUGUAUAGUAGUUCUAUUUAUUUAUUUUUUUCAACAACAAACACAUACCAUGCUCGGAUGCUCCAUACCUUUGUAGUGUUGCUUCAGUUCCUUCUUCCUAUUAGAGAGAUAUAUAGAUUGAGAGAGAUGCAGAAGACUACUAAAGUGUUAUUAAAAGCUUUGAAUAUUUACUAGUCUGUAUUUUUUGUUGAUAUUUUGGUCGCUACGUGGUUAAUACCUGACACCUCAUGGCCAAAAAUGAAAUGACAAAAGGAAUGAAUGGUGAGGUUAAGAUAGGUUUGUUGUCACACUGCAUUUAUAUAUAUACCCAUUUAGAGAUUGUCAGAGUACUAGCAGCAAGGUAAAGCGAUGGCCUGUGUUACUAUUAGAGACCAAAACCCCACAUCAUUGAUCUCAUUUUGUACUUGGUGAAAGCAAAUAAGCAAUUCUGCUGAAGCCACAUUCUCAACCAUUUGUGUGUUAUCUUAGAGACUUGACAAUGAAUUCCUACUCUACUCCCUGCUUGUAGAUUGGAAUGGCCAACUCUCUUGUUCCAUAUUUUUUAUAUACUACUGCUAGAUUCCAAAUUCUAAUGUCCCUUUCUUUUAAUUAUUGGCAUGACCACACUCAUGAACAUUGUUCACCAAGUUUUACAUAUGGUUUCAGUGUCCCCUCGACCCCUCUAGCCUCCUGUCCCCAAAUUGAGCUAGCACAAUUCCAAUUAAUAUGCUUUGUGACGACGUGAAACACACAGCAGGAUGACAGGUAGUCAGUUUCAUACUAACCAAAGUUUAUUAAGAAUAAUCUACAGAUAUAGCUGCACAGCCAGAUUAUGUAAUAAUCCCCAAAAGGCUACCUAUAUAUAUAUUGAUUAUAAAUUACUUUUUUCCUUUUUACAAGCAUGUUCAAGUGAAAUAUACAUCAGGAAAGAGCUUUAAGUAGAGGAAGACAACUGCAAAUCCAGUUGAUACAGAACUGGCAUCCCUCAGAUAGAUAUAAUCAAUUUUUAUUCUGAGAAAUAAUCAAAAAUAUAUUUUUUUAUGGUUGGAUUUUCACAUAUAUGUAUCAUUGUUCUUGUAGGGUUUGGAACUCUUGAAGACAUCUCUUCCGUCCAAGGCAGUUCUUUCUCAGAUUUUCCUUAGAAAGAAUGCGACAACAUGAAGAUGGUUAGCUAUGAUGGGCUUGUUAUAACUUUUUGGUGUGCGGAACUAUGAUGGAUUGUUUGGUGUGCGGGAUUAGUCCACUAGAGAAUACUUAUUUAUGUUUUAAUGUUUGUGUUUUAUUACUAGUCUACUAGAAGAUGUUGUUUGGUUUGUUAAUUUGCGACAUUGGAGUGUUUUUAUAGUGAAAUAUUGUUGUUUACAAUGUAUUAUUACAGUAAAU
rnacentral:lncRNA from 1 species